AUUCCGUGAUGAGGACACCGCCGUAGAAGGUCCUUGAAUCUCUCUCAUGCGUCUGAAACCGUUUCAUCCUCAUCAUAACGAAAUAUCAUAAGUUCAUUUCUAGUUU